UAAUUCACUUGUGCUACUUUUCUUUUCUUUGCUUGAUAAAUCACACAAAACACAAAAAUAUAGUAAAUAGCUCAAAAAUAUAAGGAACUAACUAAGAAAAGACAAGUGAAUUUUAUGUAAAAUAUAUAUAAAUAUGAGCUUAUCAUAGUGGAUGAAUGUUUGGUAAUGAGUGGAUGUAAUGGUGGUAGUGGGUGGAUGUUUGGUAAUGAGUGG
rnacentral:lncRNA from 1 species